CCCAAAAAUCUCAAAGAGGUCAAAUCCAAAACGGGUACAAUUACAGACUUGGGAGGGAAUGUUCUGAGAGAAGCAAUGAAGAUUGAUCUUUAAAUGUUAUGCAUCACGUUUCAAUAUUAAGAAACUCUCAAGAUGCAGUGAUCAACUGCCUCGCACUCUGGUACCUCUGACUUCCCUAUCGUGACAGACGCCACCUCACACUGAUGGCUGCUUCCAUUCUCCACCAUCUGGCCAUUUUUUAAACGUCGGCUCUCCCAUUUACUGACUAUAAAAAUUGGGUGACUAAUUAACC